UAUUUUUAAUGCCUUCUUCUUCUUCUUCUUCUUCUUCUUUUUUUUUUUUUUUUAAGCAUCUUGUACAGUGUUAGCAUUGAAAUAGUAUUAAUGGGCCGGGCAUGGUGGCUCACGCCUGUAAUCCCAGCACUUUGGGAGGCCAAGGUGGGCAGAUCACGAGGUCAGGAGUUUGAAACCAGUCUUACCAACAUGGUGAAACCCCAUUUCUUAAAAAAAAAAAAAAAAUAUUAAUGUCACAGGACUAGAAUGGCUCCUCAUUAACACUGAUAAAUGGGAGAGAAUGCACUAAGCCAAAAAGUUGCCAUCUUAUAACUUGUAAAACUCUCUUAAAUGUAGAUCUUUACUUAAAGCAGCAGGCUAACUUAUUUAUACAAUAUGUUGAUGUGGUGCUGAAUGGGAAAAAAA